GACGAACGCUGGCGGCGUGCUUAACACAUGCAAGUCGAACGAAAAGGCCCUGUGUUUGUGCGGAGCUCAAGUGCCGAAAAGGUGAGUAUCACGCGUGGGACCUGCGCUUGACUUCGGGGUAACAUCAGGAAACACGGACUCAUACCCGACAUAACCACCUUCUACAUAGGGUGGAUUGGUAAAUGUCGCAGGUUGGGGAUGGACGCGCGGCCUAUCAUUUUGUUGGUGGGGUAGUGGCUUAACAAGGCUUUGACGGGUAGCCGGACUGAGAGGGUGACCGGCCACAUAGGGACUGAGAUACGGCCCAGACUCAUACGGGAGGCAGCAGUGGGGAAUAUUGCACAAUGGGCGGAAGCCGGAUGCAGCAACGCCGGGUGCGGGAUGACGGCCUGCGGGUUGUAAACCGCGUUCGCCUGUGACGAAGAGUGAGUGACGGUAAUGGGUAAAGAAGCGCCGGCUAACUACGUG
rnacentral:rRNA from 1 species